rnacentral:tRNA from 2 species
CCUUCGAUAGCUCAGUUGGUAGAGCGGAGGACUGUAGAUCCUUAGGUCGCUGGUUCAACUCCGACUCGAAGGA